UUUGAAUGUGCUGAAUUUACUGAUUUGGUGGAUAAAUGGUGGAAAUCCUAUGAGCUGCAUCACCAUUUUGCAACACCAGAGAUUCUCGUAUUUAUCUCUGUUUGGUAUGUUCUUUGAGCAAAAUGUUAACAGUAAACACACAGUAUAUCAGGAGAAAUUUCUCCUCUUCUCAUUCUCUGCCUACUACAUGAAUUGCAUUUCAGGCCACCACCUCCUACAGUAUCUUUUCUGUUGUACCUACCCGCAAGAUCAUCAGCCAACUUGAGACUGGAUUUCAUUUUCUUUUUGUGUUAGUCUUUUCCUUCUGUUGCUUAUUUGUCUUCUAUAACUUUCUCUGCGUUUCAUUUUAUCCCUUUAGUCUCUUGCAACUUUGUCUGUUUGGUGCCAUUGACCAGACCAGUCUGAUCUACGAAAUCUGUAGCUUAGCUACUGAAGCUACAAAAAGCAAAGGUAAAAAGAGAUUGUGGGCAAGGAUGUGGGGCAUUUGAGAUGGAGGGUAUGAGAGAGUGCAUUAUAUUCCUACUUACAGAUAUGGUUAUCCUUUUUUUAAGUGCUUGGAAUAUUGAGGGAUGAUGGAGAAAAAAUCUAUAGGGAUCUUUAAGGUGCUAAAAUUGUCUGGACCUAGUUUGAGGACCAACUAAGAUAAACAUUGAGGGAAUAGGAUAGUAAACGCUGAACCCCAGUGGAUUAUGGUAGUAAGGCCACUAUGUGACUUACAAUAGAUAGUAAGCGCUGAACCCCAGUGGAUUAUGGUAGUAAGGCCACUAUGUGACUUACAAUAUCCGGCCACGUGUUUAAGUCGUCUGCAAAGUAUUCUACCCGUCGCUCCGAUUGAAAUUGUACUUCAAUGUGGUCGUGACCCUUUCGCGACAAUGACUUAUCAAGUGGGAUUUGGGGAAGGUAGUGUGUAUGCAGACUUUAUCCCUACCUCGGGAGCAGAGAUGUUUCCGAUGGACCCUCUUCUCAAGAAUAUGAAAAGAGAUAAUAGAUCAGUUUCGCAGCAAUGACUUAGCGAACAACAAAUCCUCAAGUGCUUGAUGCGGCGAAAAAAAAAAUACUUAAAUCAGUUUGAUCUCAAAAUGUCAUCAUACAAAUCUCUCAACUAGGAGAGUGUUUCUAGUUAACCAUGUUUCCUAUUUUUUCACUUUCUUGGUCUUUUUAUAUCUGACUAUGGUUGUACCUUGCAGGAGGAAUGUGUUCCAUUCAAAAAUCACAGUCCGUCUCACCAUGUAGUGACUAAGUUCCAAUGAAGUUGAUGUUUAUCUGCAAAAGCGGACUAGGUUUCGGAGUUGAUGUUUGUCUGCAAAAGUGUGGUCCAUUAAAUAUGAAGAUUUAGAGGUAAUCUUUGUCAGCCCAAUAGUAUUGUAAGGAUCAAGGAGGCAGUGUAUGUUUAGUUUGUUCAGGGAGGGAGUUUGUAUGGUUCAGGCAGGGAUAAUUUAUUUAAUUGGCCUGACAGAUGUAACAAAAUUUGUGUUUAUUUUUUCAGAUGUUAGAAGAAAUAUCUACCUAUGUAAAACACUCUUAUUUUUUCAGUAACUCAUUUUUUCUUGUUAGUUCAUGGGUAGGCAUGCGACUGUAUUUAUGUUUUUUUAUGUUUACAUAGUUAUUUAUGUUAUUUCUGCGGGAUUUACUAAUGCUUUAUUAUUUUGUUUUUGUCUUGUUUUUGUUUCUAAUUUUGUCUUGGUUUUUGUUUUUGCUUUUUGUCUAGUGCAGCUUUUCAUUUUUUCCUAUGCGCCGAGGGUCGAUUG
rnacentral:lncRNA from 1 species